UCUCCGUAGGUGAACCUGCGGAAGGAUCAUUGAAUCGAUCGAACCCACACCGUGAACCUGCUCGUACCCCCCAUGUGUGGGGUCAAUUUUGGCUUCGCCUGGGCGCCCGGGGUAACGCAGAAGAACCUCGUGUUUUUCUGUGCCGGGCGGGCGAGGGACGCUUCUGCGCCCCUCGUCGGCCUUUACAUUUUCCACACCAAACCCCAAACACUUCUGAAGCUUGAAAUCGGCGCCGCAUGUCGGCACCGACCAAACCUGAGACAACUCUCAACAACGGAUAUCUUGGCUCCC
rnacentral:misc_RNA from 1 species